rnacentral:rRNA from 1 species
GACGAACGCUGGCGGCGUGCCUAAUACAUGCAAGUAGAACGCACAGUUUAUACCGUAGCUUGCUACACCAUAGACUGUGAGUUGCGAACGGGUGAGUAACGCGUAGGUAACCUGCCUGGUAGCGGGGGAUAACUAUUGGAAACGAUAGCUAAUACCGCAUAAUAUUGAUUAUUGCAUGAUAAUUGAUUGAAAGAUGCUAUUGCAUCACUACCAGAUGGACCUGCGUUGUAUUAGCUAGUAGGUGAGGUAACGGCUCACCUAGGCGACGAUACAUAGCCGACCGGAGAGGGGGAACGGCCACACUGGGACUGAGACACGGCCCAGACGCCUACGGGAGGCAGCAGUAGGGAAUCUUCGGCAAUGGACGAAAGGCUGACCGAGCAACGCCGCGUGAGUGAAGAAGGUUGUCGGAUCGUAAAGCUCUGUUGUAAGAGAAGAACGGGUGUGAGAGUUGAAAGUUCACACUGUGACGGUAUCUUACCAGAAAGGGACGGCUAACUACGUG